GAUGAACGCUGGCGGCGUGCCUAACACAUGCAAGUCGAGCGAAGCGAUCUGAUGGAAGUUUUCGGAUGGAAGUCAGAUUGACUGAGCGGCGGACGGGUGAGUAACGCGUGGGUAACCUGCCUCAUACGAGGGGGAUAACAGUUAGAAAUGGCUGCUAAUACCGCAUAAGCACACAGGACCGCAUGGUCCGGUGUAGAAAAACUCCGGUGGUAUGAGAUGGACCCGCGUCUGAUUAGCUAGUUGGUAAGGUAACGGCUUACCAAGGCGACGAUCAGUAGCCGACCUGAGAGGGUGACCGGCCACAUUGGGACUGAGACACGGCCCAA
rnacentral:rRNA from 1 species